GGAGGGGUGGCCGAGUGGUCGAAGGCGCCGGUCUCGAAAACCGGUAGGGUUCUUAAGGACCCUCGUGGGUUCGAAUCCCACCCCCUCCG
rfam:Bacterium CSP1-2 XT11_C0027, whole genome shotgun sequence.